UUUAUGUCAUAUGUGUGGUAGCUGACGCCAUAAAGAAAACUCAAAGCCAACGAUAACCUGAGGAAUGCGUUGUAUUACAGGUGCUUCUGCCGCGGCGUCCCUGGAGAACAUGCAGUGGUAUUAAGUGGCAGAAUUCUCAGGAAUCCCUGUCCUGCCUUGGGAGCUCAGCAGGAAGCUUUUGGUGGAUCCCACUGCGCUACAGGAGGAGGAGGAGGAGAAUGAAGAGGUCCUUGAGUGUCUCUGAGCGUGACUGAAAUGUUCUGUGCCGGUUUGUUGUUCUGUUCUUUGUGCCUGGUUCUGUUAAAUUAAAAUGCCACUGAUCACAA
rnacentral:lncRNA from 1 species